GCAUUAGAGGUAAAAGAAGUCAUGUCUAAAAGAAGAAAACAGAAAAAAAAAAAGGAAAUUCUGGCAAAUUAAAUAGAAACCACAAAUGUUGACCUAGUAACCACGGAGUAGAACUCAUUGCUUAAAUCACCACUGAUGCUAAAAAGUAAACUGAAAUCCACUCUAGUUUAUAUUAGUGUGCUGGACUGCAAACUGCACAGCCUCUUGAGCUGCUACGUGUACUUUUCUGCUGGUCCUCUUCUGAGUAUAGUGAUUUAUAAGAUUGUGUGGAGUGGAUUGAUAGCCACUUAAUCUUAAAUCAACUAGCUCAAUCCACUGUCACUCAGGAGUUAACACUUUCAUGCUUUUCCCUAAAAAUCUGCUAGAAAGUUCCUCAUCUGACACCCCACUUGAUGGAAAAGGACCUCCUGUCUGACCAGAGCAGCUGCUGUAACGUGUGCAAUUGUUAGCCGAAGUCUCAUAACAUUUAUUCCUCCUACAGAGACACUUCACAUCAUCCUGAAAAGAUACUUCACGUGGGUCUGCUUGUAUGCUGCUUCAUAACAGUGAUCUCAUCCAUAUCUAGAGGGAUCCUUGUAAUGCACCUAUGCAUCAUAAACACUCCCAAAGCACCUGUACCUCAUAGUUAUUGAUUCCAUACAGGAUAUCUGUUACACAACAGGGAGGGGAAUGAAAGUGCCCAGAUGAUGGGAUGGUGAUAUGCCAUGGUCUGGAGCAACCUAGCCACAGAGCUAUUUCCAGCAUGUGUUUUUCCUACAAUUGAAGACAUAGAAAUAACAUGAGAACAGCAGCAGCAUAUCUAUACAGAGAAAACCAGACUUUCAGAUGAAGAUUCAUACAACCAGCACUGCACUGGAAAAACAAGUCAAGGGCUCACAAUUAUCCGAGUGAAACAGCAUCUCUUCUUGAGUGACAAGUGAAACAAUGAGAACAGAGAAGUAGGUACUGUACAAAAAUGCAUCCAAUGAAAGCACAGUAAAAUAUUUUUCUUUAUUA